CACAAAAAGGACGGAAGCAUCUAAAGUGGAUGAUUAGAUCUGAAACGCUCGGAAGACACACACAAACACACUAAAGAUUCUGAGUCUGAAAUCACAAGCCAUGUGCUGUAAAGGAGCUGUUCUCACACAUGUGUCUUCAGACAAGAAAGAGAACGACAACAGGUCUCCACAGCUGCCACCUCUCCGGCAACAACACCCCCGACAACAAGCACACACCCACCUACCCCCACCCCGAGCGUCUCUUUGUGCCCGGCUAGAGGCUCUCCUUUCCAGCCACGCUUGCCUUUUGUUCCCUCUCGGUCCUCCCUCCUCUGGUUCUCCUCGGCGAGAAGCAGACGGCUGGUUGUGUUUGGGACUCAGCUGAACAAACACACACCAGGUCUGAGCAGGAUGAGAAGGGGGAGGAGAACACACCUGACACCUCCACAUCCUCCAUGGUCUCCCUUGUAAAAGUGGUCUGUUGUUCAGCGAGUUGUGUUUGUUGAGUUGUUUACCUUGUUGUGUUUGGGUGGAAAUGUCUUGUUUUGCAUGUAAUGUAGGUAUCUUCUAAAUGGUCUCUAGGGGUGUAACGGUAUACAAAAAUGAUCAAUUAAUGUGGAGCUCUGUUUUAAAGUCAAGGUUUGGUUUCGAAACAACAAAUAUUUUACAUUUGUUCUCACUGAAUAAACUAUGCAUGUCUUUAUGUAGUCUAUAAAUGUUGAGUUUACAACAACAAACUUAACAAAGUUUGCAAAACACUAUCUACAUGGGACACUCUGCAUAAUAAAACUUAGAGGACAGUGUUAAACUGAAUAUAAUUGGUGCUAUUAAACAUUGUCCAGUUUGUGACUGGUAACAAACAGAAACAUGGAUGUAGAUGAUGUUUUUUGGUGCUAUAUUUUUGUUUGAAGAAACAACACACAAUAUUCUGACUACACAGUGAAAAUGGUGAAAAUGUCAGCCCAUGAGGUUAGUCUAGCACCAAUAUAUCCACCAGCACAUUCAGAAGCUCUACAGAAAUGUGCGUGAUUGGUUGUAUGGCCCGCGCUGCAAAGAAAUUCAUUGAAGAUCUUAACUUUAAAGCAACAUGUUCAAAUCUCAAAUGAAAUGUAACCCAUUGACACUGUUUAUUAUUUUAAAGUUUAAUUUAAUUGUUUGUUUUAGUUUAGUUGGGCAUUUGUUUGCCUCAUAUGUUCUGACCCUAGUUUUAUUUUGUCAUAUUGCUCUUUAGUUUGUAAGAUUGGCCAAAAUAUUUUGACUACUGAUAGAGUCAUAAAAUGGGAUUAAUGGUUGAAGUCAAAUUUUAUUUUGAUGGUCUGUUUGUUGAAUUUAGGCUACAUUGCACCUACAUGCCAACUAAUUCUCAUUAGAUUAUGAGUUGACUGUUAGGUUGGGGUUAGGGUUAAGGUUGGGGUUAGGGUUAGUGUAAGUUGACAUGUACUUGCAAAGUUUCUUAUAGUCAGUUCAAUGUCUGUUGAAAGAACAGUAUCAACAGAUAUUAAGCAGACAGUCUACUCAAAUGGACCAUCAAAAUAAAGUGUUACCUUGGUCGAUAUUGAUCUGCCAUUAUUUAUUGGAACAUUCCUGAUUUAAAAGUAAGUAUCUACCUUGGUUUCAUUAUGGAAUAAACAGUUUUCUAUGAAUUACAACAUAUUCAACUAACUGCUAUUGACCUUAAUCUUCACGUACGUUGAAUCACGAAUUGUUCUAUUUUUAUUUUUUUGUUGUUUAUUUAAUGGGGACAAUACACUUGACGUUGCUAUACAUGCUAUACAGAGCCACAAACAGAAA
ensembl:lincRNA